rnacentral:rRNA from 1 species
GAUGAACGCUGGCGGCGUGCCUAAUACAUGCAAGUCGAGCGAACAGACGAGGAUCUUGCUCCUCUGCCGUUAGCGGCGGACGGGUGAGUAACACGUGGAUAACCGACCUAUAAGACUGUGAUAACUUCGGGAAACCGGAUCUAGUACCGGAUAAUAUAUUGAACGUCAUGGUUCAAUGGACAAAGACGGUUUUGCUGUCCCUAAUAGAUGGAUCCGCGCCGCAUUAGCUAGUUGGUAAGGUAACGGCCUACCAAGGCAACGAUGCGUAGCUGACCUGAGAGGGUGAUCGGCCACACUGGAACUGAGACACGGUCCAGACUCCUACGGGAGGCAGCAGUAGGGAAUCUUCCGCAAUGGGCGAAAGCCUGACGGAGCAACGCCGCGUGAGUGAUGAAGGUCUUCGGAUCGUAAAACUCUGUUAUUAGGGAAGAACAAAUGUGUAAGUAACUAUGCACGUCUUGACGGUACCUAAUCAGAAAGCCACGGCUAACUACGUG